AUGUCUGAAAACACCCAGGGCAGUGUCCGGCGGGCCUUUGGAGACCUGACAAAUGUCCUUGGCAAGCGGCCAGCCUCAUGCGAUCUGGAAAAGAAUGCAGGUGGAGUCAAGAUGAGUCGGGUUGAAAAGGUCGUUGACCCUAGGAAAGAGUCUGAUGAAAAGGCAAAGGCCAAUGCUGGGGCAUCAGGAAACCUUGUUGAAGUUUUGGUCGAUGGUAUUGGCAAAGAGGACUUCGCAAGGACUUCAAUUUUCCGUGGAGCCAAGGUUCAGCACAUGGCUGCUCAGGCAGCUGGGCUACGAUCCAAGGAUGAUGAUGAUGUGAGGAAUCGUUGUGUAUCAUUGGAUUCUUCUGGCAUCAACGACAAGGCAGAGUCUUCCUUGGAAUCAGAGGGUGGCUGUGAAGCGGAAGAUGAUGAAGACACUGAUAGUGAGUUGCUGCCAUAUGCUAGUGAGGCUAGUAAGAUUGUAAUUAAUGAUAAGACUAAUGAGGGUGAAUGUCUGACUCAAGAGGAGAUGGUUGUAUCACCAGGAAAUCAGAAUCCACAGUCUUCGUUUGACGCUACAGCUCGUGAUGACAUGACAUGUACAAAUGUCCAGCAUCCUCCAAUGGGUGUUGGUGGCUUUGAAAAAUCAUGUGCUACAAAGUCUUGCACUUGCACUUUCUGUCUUAAGGCUGCUUUUAUGUGGACUGAUCUCCAUUAUCAGGAUGCAAGAAGCCGGCUUGGUGCAUUGAAGAAGAGCAUAAAGUUUGCUAGAUCGCUAGAGGCAAAGAGGCAAGGAAAUGAAUUCAAUGCAGACAGAUACUCGAAAAGAGCUGCAGAGAUGGGAUUCGAACUAUCUCAACAGCAGAGAUCACUCUUUCUUCAUACUGAAAAUGCCCUUGUUCGUGAAUCUGCCCAGCUCCAUUCAGCCGUCGUUAAGUUAAAGGACUUGAGAGACAACUGCAAGAAAGAUCUGAAGAUCUGA
rnacentral:rRNA from 1 species